rnacentral:rRNA from 1 species
AUGUGGAAGGAUGGCCAGGGAGCAGAUGUGACAUUCAGUGUGGGUGGCCAAUUGUUCAAAGCUCACAGAUGCUUAUUGGCUGCAUGGUUUCUGGUUUUCAAGGCGGAGCUCUUUGGUCCCAUGAAGGAGAAGGAAACACAGUGCAUCAAAAUCGACGACAUCGACCCUGAAAUCUUUGAGGCUCUUCUUCACUUCAUAUACACAGAUUCCAUGCUAGUCGAUUCCAUGCUAGUCGAUGAGCACUACAAAGAAAGCAAACCUGCAAAACUGCAUCAUCUGCAAGUUGCCUCGGAUCGAUAUGGAUUGGAUAGGCUAAAGGUGAUGUGUGAAAGUAAAUUGUCUGAGUGCAUUGACGUAGAGACUGUUGCAACAACAUUAGUUUUAGCAGAGCAACACCAUUGCAAGGAUCUCAAAGAAGCUUGCAUUGAGUUUAUGGCUCCACGUAAUGUUCUGCAAGCUGCCAUGGCAACUGAUGGUUUCAAGCAUUUGGUAGCAAGCUGUCCUUUGGUCAUGAAGGAGUUAUUAGACAUGGUGUCCCGUAGUGGCUAG